rnacentral:lncRNA from 1 species
AUCACAGCAAGAUUUUAAUGUGCCUGUGACUAAAUUAGUUCAACUCCAAUAAUUUGAACAUGGAGCUGGAACUCAAACCCAGGCCUCCAAAAGAUUAGUAUGAAAGUGAACGAUUUCAAAAUUCAAGAUCUUUCACUCUAAUCCUACACCCAAGUCACUCAGAACUAAUCCUACUCUGGAAUGUCAGUGUAGUCUUCCCAGAAAUCUUGGCUGCCAUAUAGAAAUGUGAAAUAUUUAAAUUUAAAUCACAUACCCCAUCCAGUGUUAGAAAUGUCUGUACUAUAAUUUCAACCGACAGCUCAUCAGUUAGCAGGAUAACUGGAUUCUGUGCCUUGUCAGAGUUCAUUUCAGGGCUGGCCAUUUUCAUUAUCAAAGCAAUUGAUUUAAGCGACAAUCGCUUAUUAGCAGGAUGAAAAUGCCAGAGCUUGAAGAGGCUUCUUCCAUUUCCUGAGAGGCCAAGUGAUUUUCUUCACAAACUUGAUGUGACAUUCGAGGACUGGAAUUAUACAUCCAGACCAGGAUGUUCCUGCCGAGUUGCUGCAGUUCAUGGGCACCAGACGACAAGAGGAUUUGAACAUGAUGACAAGUUUAGCAAAGGCUGAAUUCUUUUCGAUAUCUUCUGAAUAAUUCCUGAUGCCAUUGGGUGGGCAAAGCUUUGAUAAAAACAAGAAGAGCAAGAAAGAGAUAUAUCUGUUGCUGCCUUCAAGACUGAUCUACUGUUUCUCUCAGGGUAAGGAAAUUGUGCUUUUUUCAUUGACUAUACUGGAGAUGAAGGUGUUGGGAAAUUUUCAUGGAUAGAUAUACAGAUAUGGAUGAAGAUAUAGAUAUAUAG